rnacentral:lncRNA from 1 species
UGCUGGGAUCUCGUCCAUCUGCUUCCGAACUGAAUAAUAGAAAAAUGAAAUUAAGCAUCAACAGCAAAAGUGGAUUGGGCUACAUCUUUUCUUACAGCAUCUAAUGAUGCGCUGGUGGACUCAUUGGCGAAGGUUUUUGGAAAAUGGUACGUGAGACACGUUCCGCAUAAAAGUUUCCGUAUGAUCUAAAGGAAAGAUCCAAGAGAUCUAAUUGAGCAAAUUAAAAAUCCAGUUGCAGCUCACUGUUGACACUGUAUGUCUUUGUCAUUGAAUAUUUCGUCAUAUAAAACAGUGGAAAAAAUUACAUUUUAUCAAUUGAUGAUAGGAACCUUUUUUCCCAAGGUUUUUAUAAGGAAAGCAUAACGUAGUGAAAUUGGGAAAUGGUUAACGUAACAACUGUCAUAAUAUAAUACCAAUUAGAUGGACGAAGAGAAGGUACAUAAAAUACAAAGAGUAAAAUGGACAAAGAACAGAUUAUAUAAAAUACAAAAAAUAAAAUG